GGCGCCCGAGCAGGGCACCCCGGCGGGGACGGUGUUUUCUUCCCCUCCCGCGGGCACGCAGCGGGGGAGGCGGCCGGCGGAGAGCGGGGCCCCGGCCCGAGGCGGGGGGAUCGAUGACUCGGCCGGUGGGCACGGCCACCUGGGCACACUUCCUACUAACCUGAGUAAGGAAGGUCUGAAAGGAAAAGCAGCUAUGGAUUGUCCUACCAGUCCCCUUCCUUCUAUGGCACCAUUUUCAGUGUAAAAGGUCCACCAGAAUCCUAUGCU